AAGAAAGUAAUUAAGAGCAAACGGCGGAUGCCUUGGCUUGCAGAGGCGAUGAAGGACGUGAUAAGCUGCGAUAAGCUACGAGGAGGUGCACAUAACCUUUGAUACGUAGAUUUCCGAAUGGGGCAACCCGGCUGGUUGAAGACCAGUCACCGAAAGGAGCAAACCCGGAGAACUGAAACAUCUAAGUACCCGGAGGAAGAGAAAAUAAUUAAUGAUUCCGAUAGUAGCGGCGAGCGAAAUCGGAAGAGCCCAAACCAAUCUUGUUUCGGCAAGGUUGGGGUUGUAGGACCACGAUGUGAGAUGUUCCACGAAUUAGAAUCAACUGGAAAGUUGAACCAUAGAGGGUGAUAGUCCCGUAUAGGUAAGUGCGAAUUAUUUCUAGUGGUAUCCUGAGUAGGGCGGGACAUGUGAAAUCCUGUCUGAAUCUGUCAGAACCAUCUGAUAAGGCUAAAUACUCCUGCAAGACCGAUAGUGAACUAGUACCGUGAGGGAAAGGUGAAAAGUACCCUGAAUAAGGGAGUGAAAUAGAUCCUGAAACCGUUUGCUUACAAGCGGUCGGAGCAUCUUUAAGGUGUGACGGCGUGCCUUUUGCAUAAUGAUCCUACGAGUUACUCGUCACUGGCAAGGUUAAGGACUUCAGGUCCGCAGCCGAAGCGAAAGCAAGUCUGAAUAGGGCGUAUAGUCAGUGGCGGUAGACGCGAAACCGAGUGAUCUACCCAUGGGCAGGUUGAAGCUCUGGUAACACAGAGUGGAGGACCGAACCGGUUGAUGUUGAAAAAUCUUCGGAUGACCUGUGGGUAGGGGUGAAAGGCCAAUCAAACUCGGAAAUAGCUCGUUCUCCCCGAAAUGCUUUUAGGAGCAGCGUUAUGUUAUAGAGUAGUAGAGGUAGAGCUACUGGUUGGAUGCGGGGGCUUCAUCGCCUACCAAAUCCUGUCAAACUCCGAAUGCUACUACUUGUUUCAUAGCAGUGAGGGCAUGGGUGCUAAGGUCCAUGUCCGAGAGGGAAAGAACCCAGACCAUCUGCUAAGGUCCCCAAAUGUAUACUAAGUUGAUCAAACGUGGUCAGACUGCUUAGACAGCUAGGAUGUUGGCUUGGAAGCAGCCAUUCAUUUAAAGAGUGCGUAACAGCUCACUAGUCGAGCGGUCCGGCGUGGAUAAUAAUCGGGCAUAAGUAUACUACCGAAGCAAUGGACAUGAAAAUGUGGUAGGGGAGCAUUCUAGUUGCGCCGAAGGUGAAUCGUGAGGUUUGCUGGAGCGGCUAGAAAAGAAAAUGUAGGAAUGAGUAACGAUAAAGCGGGUGAGAAACCCGCUCGCCGAAAAUCUAAGGUUUCCUCAGCUAUGCUAAUCAGCUGAGGGUUAGUCGCGACCUAAGGCGAACCCGAACGGGGUAGUCGAUGGACAACAGGUUAAUAUUCCUGUACUUGUUUAUACUGCGAUGGGGUGACGAUGUACUGAAAGCACCGCGCACUGACGGAAUAGUGCGUUGAAGACUGUAUCUAUAGGACCUGUAGGCAAAUCCGCAGGACCUGGAGAAGGUCGAUAGUACCGAGAGUCUUCGGACAAUCGGAUAGUGUGCCUAAAAACAUCCAAGAAAAACCUCUAAGCUUCAGGUAUAAACAACGCGUACCGUAAACCGACACAGGUAGAUGGGAUGAGAAUUCUAAGGCGCUCGAGUGAUUCAUGGCUAAGGAACUAGGCAAAAUAGUCCCGUAACUUCGGGAGAAGGGACGCCCCCUUAUGGGGGGCCGCAGUGAAAAGGCCCAGGCGACUGUUUAUCAAAAACACAGGACUCUGCUAAAUCGAAAGAUGAUGUAUAGGGUCUGACACCUGCCCGGUGCUGGAAGGUUAAGAGGAGAUGUUAGCUUCGGCGAAGCAUUGAAUUGAAGCCCCAGUAAACGGCGGCCGUAACUAUAACGGUCCUAAGGUAGCGAAAUUCCUUGUCGGGUAAGUUCCGACCUGCACGAAUGGUGUAACGAUCUGGGCACUGUCUCAGCCAUGAGCUCGGUGAAAUUGUAGUAUCGGUGAAGAUGCCGAUUACCCGCAGCGGGACGAAAAGACCCCGUGAACCUUCACUACAACUUUGUAUUGACAUUGGACAAGAGAUGUGUAGGAUAGGUGGGAGACUUUGAAGCGUUGUCGCUAGGCAGCGUGGAGUCAACCUUGAAAUACCACCCUUCGCUUGUUUGAUGCCUAACCCCGCAAGGGGGACAGUGCAUGGUGGGUAGUUUGACUGGGGUGGUCGCCUCCAAAAGAGUAACGGAGGCUUUCAAAGGUAUCCUCAGUACGCUUGGUAACCGUACGUAGAGUGCAAUGGCACAAGGAUGCUUGACUGUGAGACUAACAAGUCGAGCAGGUACGAAAGUAGGACAUAGUGAUCCGGUGGUUCCGCAUGGAAGGGCCAUCGCUCAAAGGAUAAAAGGUACUCCGGGGAUAACAGGCUGAUCUCCCCCAAGAGCUCACAUCGACGGGGGGGGUUUGGCACCUCGAUGUCGGCUCGUCACAUCCUGGGGCUGGAGAAGGUCCCAAGGGUUGGGCUGUUCGCCCAUUAAAGUGGCACGCGAGCUGGGUUCAGAACGUCGCGAGACAGUUCGGUCUCUAUCUGCUGUGGGCGUUGGAAAUUUGAGAGGAGCUGACUUUAGUACGAGAGGACCGAGUUGGACAGCCCUCUAGUGUACCUGUUGUUUCGCCAGAAGCAUUGCAGGGUAGCUACGGCUGGUUGGGAUAAGCACUGAAAGCAUAUAAGUGCGAAGCCCACCUCAAGAUGAGAUUUCCCUUAAGGGUCGUUCGAGAUGAGGACGUUGAUAGGCUUCAGGUGUAAAGGCAGUAAUGUCAUAGCCGAGAAGUACUAAUUACCCGUGGCUUUCUAAG
rnacentral:rRNA from 1 species